UACGUAGGACCCGAGCGUUAUCCGGAUUCACUGGGUGUAAAGGGUGUGUAGGCGGGCGUGCGCGUGCGGGGUGAAAGGUUCCGGCUCAACCGGAAACAUGCCUUGGAUACGGCACGUCUUGGGUGCGGGAGAGGACGGUGGAAUUCCUGGUGUAGCGGUGAAAUGCGUAGAUAUCAGGAGGAACACCAGUGGCGAAGGCGCCCAUCUGGACGGCUACUGACGCUGAGACGCGAAAGCGUGGGGAGCAAACAGG
rnacentral:rRNA from 1 species